rnacentral:lncRNA from 1 species
AAAGAUUCUGAAGAAGCACGAGAAGCCCGACGACUGUGAUUCGAAAAAGAAGAUGAAGCCGGCGAAUGUUGUGUACCCAAGGAAGAAGAUAAAGCAGACGGCGUGCAAAACUUAACAGAUUAAUUAUAGGGAUAAAAUUGUCUUCUUUCACAAAAAAUAAUUAAUUUUUUUAUUAUUUUAAUAGAUAUUUUUAUUUUUACUAUACGAAAAUAAAUUAAUACUUCGAUGUAUUUACUUUAUAAUAUAUGUAACAUUUAUUUUCCUGUAACGUGUGUAUAUAGUGACGUCACAAAUGAAU